rnacentral:rRNA from 1 species
UACGUAGGGGGCGAGCGUUGUCCGGAUUCAUUGGGCGUAAAGGGUGCGUAGGCGGCCGUGCAAGUCUGGCGUGAAAGCCCCGGGCUCAGCCCGGGAAGUGCGCUCGAAACUGCGCGGCUCGAGUGCCGGAGGGGAGAGUGGAAUUCCUGGUGUAGCGGUGAAAUGCGUAGAUAUCAGGAGGAAUACCGGUGGCGAAAGCGACUCUCUGGACGGCAACUGACGCUGAGGCACGAAAGCGUGGGGAGCAAACAGG